rnacentral:rRNA from 1 species
AUACGGAGGGUGCAAGCGUUACUCGGAAUCACUGGGCGUAAAGCGCGCGCAGGCGGAUUGGCAAGUUGGAUGUGAAAGCCUGCGGCUCAACCGCAGAACUGCAUCCAAAACUGUCAGUCUAGAGUCUGGGAGAGGUAGCUGGAAUUAGUGGUGUAGAGGUAAAAUCCGUAGAGAUCACUAGGAAUACCGAAAGCGAAGGCGAGCUACUGGAACAGUACUGACGCUGAGGCGCGAAAGCGUGGGGAGCAAACAGGAUUAGAAACCCCGGUAGUCC